GAUUUGGUGCUCUUUUUGAUAUAGAUAGAAUCUUUAUCAGUCACUUUCCACGGACAUGAUCUCAUAGUUGAUUCUGAACUGUAGCUCAACUAUGGCAGACGUUAUGGUUUGUUGGGAUUGAAUGGCUGCGGGAAGUCUACUCUUCUUACCGCCAUAGGAUUGCGGGAACUUCCCAUUCCAGAGCACAUGGAUAUUUUUCAUCUUUCACGGGAGAUUGAAGCCUCUGACAUGACCUCUCUUGAGGUCGUCAUUAAUUGCGAUGAAGAGAGAUUGCAAUUGGAGAAAGAAGCUGAAGCAUUGGCUGGGCAGGACGAUGGUGGUGGAGAGCAACUUGAACGGAUCUAUGAGCGUUUAGAAGCUAUGGAUGCAGCCACUGCAGAGAAACGUGCUGCUGAAAUCUUGUUUGGGCUUGGAUUUGAUAAGAAAAUGCAAGCAAAGAAAACACGUGAUAUUUCUGGUGGCUGGAGAAUGAGGAUUGCUCUUGCGCGUGCCCUAUUUAUGAAUCCAACAAUUUUAUUGCUUGAUGAGCCCACAAACCAUCUCGACCUAGAGGCCUGUGUGUGGUUGGAAGAAUCCUUGAAGAACUUCGAACGCAUUUUGGUUGUCAUUUCACACUCGCAGGAUUUUCUCAAUGGUGUGUGUACCAAUAUCAUCCACAUGCAAAACAAGAAGUUGAAACUCUAUACAGGUAACUACGGCCAAUAUGUGCAAACCCGUUCAGAGCUGGAAGAGAACCAGAUGAAACAGUACAAAUGGGAGCAGGAGCAGAUUUCUGCAAUGAAGGAAUACAUUGCUCGCUUUGGGCAUGGUUCGGCUAAACUUGCCCGUCAAGCACAGAGUAAAGAGAAGACAUUGGCUAAGAUAGAGCGCGGUGGGCUUACUGAGAAGGUGGGGAGGGACAGUGUCCUGGUUUUCCGGUUUACUGAUGUCGGCAAACUUCCUUCUCCAGUUCUACAGUUUUCCGAUGUUACUUUUGGCUACACGCCUGAUAACCUCAUCUACAAGAACCUUGAUUUUGGUGUAGAUUUAGACUCCAGGAUAGCACUUGUGGGACCAAAUGAUGCUGGAAAGAGCACACUGCUUAAGCUGAUGAUAGGGGAUUUAUUUCCCACUGAUGGCAUGGUUAAGCGGCACAAUCACCUAAAAAAUUGCACAGUACCACCAGCACUUAACUGAGAAGCUAGACUUGGAAUUGUCAGCUCUUUUGUACAUGAUGAGAGAGUACCCUGGGAAUGAGGAGGAGAAGAUGAGAGCAGCAAUUGGUGUUGGUUUACUAACAAUUGGGAGGUUUGGCUUCACAGGUAAAGCUCAAGUAAUGGCUAUGGAGAACUUGUCAGAUGGUCAACGUAGUAGGGUGAUUUUUGCAUGGUUGGCUUUUAGGCAACCCCACAUGCUGCUGUUGGAUGAGCCAACCAACCAUCUUGAUAUUGAGACCAUUGACUCACUUGCAGGGGCGUUGAACGCAUGGGAUGGUCGGAUGGUUCUAGUGAGUCAUGACUUUAGGCUCAUAAACCAGGUCGCCCAUGAGAUAUGGGUAUGUGAAGAUCAGGCUGUGACACGGUGGGAGGGUGGCAUCAUGGACUUCAAGAAACACUUGAAGAAAAGGGCUGGAUUGGGUGAUUAAAUUAGUGAUACUAUGUGUUUUAUUUUAGGAAGUGUGAUGGCAUCACUGUUUCCUCUUGGUGGUUCAGUGCCAAGGCGUAAUGGUGAAACAUCAAUAAGCCACAUCACGGUAGCUG